GAGGUAUUAUCCUCAUCUCCAUUUUACAGAUGAGGAAACUGAGGUUGAAAGAUAUUAAAGUGACUUGUCAAGGAUCACAUAGCUGGUCAAUAUCUGAGACUGAAUUUGAACUCUGGCCUUCUUGUUUCUAGGACUAAUGCUCUAUCCACUGUAUAUGUCAGUCUGAGAAAUAUGGGGAAACUUUCUGGGUGGACCUAGAAAGCCAACUGCUGCAGAGGGCCUUCAAGGAUCUGAAACAAUAAGAAAUUCUUGGUUCAUUUUUCUCAAAAAUAAAGGUGUCCUCCAAGAAUGGAUGUCAUGGACUCUUACCAUCAGAAUGAGAUAGGAGGAAACUCUUCUUCUACUAUUAAAGGAUGCCUGGCUUUAACUACAGCUGGAAAGCAAAUAAGAUUGGGAAGUAUAGAGUAAAAAUGGAUAAAAAGGAAUGAAGAUGCAAAACAAGCAAACUCAGCAAAAGAAAGAAUCUAGCUGCCUUCAAUGGGUUAGAUUUCCCAGGUCUAGAAAGAGGAAGUAGUAAGUAUGGGAUUUAGUGAUUCCUGGUGAUCUCGUAAAAAAAUCAGUAAAAUGUGAAUAUACCUCCUACCCAUAGCUCUGGGCUUAUGUGACCAGAUUCAGUCUUUAGAUUGGAUCUAAUUAUCUUGAUGAUUCAUUUUUUGUCCUCACCCAGGGGAACUCUGGGAAUAUUUGUAUUUGACUUAUUUUUAACUCUGCCAUAGGAGCAUUGAAUUCUCCUGCAAGCAUCAAGCUACAAGGUAUGGAGCAUAGAUCAGGUUUAUUAAAAUGCAUGUAAAGGACACAGAAGGAGUUUGUGUCCUAAACCCCUUCAGUAAAUAGUUAUAUUCAACCUUCUGGCGUAAUUUCCUUUUACUCUCUCUCCCAUAUGUUCCCAGGCACAGGCCUAGAAAACAACAGUUCAAACAGCCUAGUAUAACUUACAAUACCAACAGAAGUCCUGUUGACAUGGAACUGAAGACCUCAUUGAAGAGGAAUGUCAACUUGACUGUUUUGUGCUAAAGAUUCAGCUCAUUCCACCAUUGCAGGUUCUGAGUACCCUGACUGGCUACUGCUUUUUAGCUUUUGGUUCUGCUGCUUUUCAGCAGACUGCCCUAGAUCACUGUGGCUCCCAUAGCUCCUGUUUUGGUUUAGAAACUCUUUGCCACUAAUCCAGCAGUCAUUGCCUUCACCUGCAUAUCUCUUCUUGGUACUACAUCCUAAAAGUCCUGUUUGUCUCUUGCAUGGCUACUCUGUUCUUCUUUGGAAGUUCCCUUGGUCUUUUUUGG
rnacentral:lncRNA from 1 species